rnacentral:lncRNA from 1 species
GUGUGUUGUGAUCUACUACCUCUUAUCUGGCUCUUUAUUUUUGGGUCAUUGAACAUUCUAUUUUCAUUGAGGAACUUAUACGGGUUUUUUGCUGAUGUUAAAGAGGUGCGGUCUAGUCAAAUGGUGACAAAUAAUGGCAGACAUAUACCUUCAUCAAAUAAUGGCAGACCUGUACCUUCAUCAAAUAAUGGCAGACAUGUACCUUCUGCAAAUAAUGGCAGACAUGUACUUUCAGCAAAUAAUGGUAGACAUAUACCUUCAGCAAAUAAUGGCAGACCUGUACCUUCAGCAAAUAAUGGCAGACAUUUACCUUCAGCAAAUAAUGGCAGACAUGUACCUUCAGCAAAUAAUGGUAGAGAUGUACCUGGCCGUCGUGAUGAAAGGAAACUGGUAUCUGUGGAUGGACAGAUGCAUUCUAAAGUGGGGCCCAAUAAGUUGAGUUCUGCCAGUAGAAGACCCGAUGCAACAUCAAUGGACUCUAGAAGACAGCUUGGUAGCAACGGUGGAAAUGGGCCUGGCCGGCCUCAAGAGACAAAAAGAUUGCCGUCUAAGACACCUGCUUCAGCCAUUGAGAGGAAAGCUUCUACACCAGGUCUAAA